rnacentral:rRNA from 1 species
AAGCUAUCGCUUUUGGAUGGACCCGCGGCGUAUUAGCUAGUUGGUGAGGUAAUGGCUCACCAAGGCGAUGAUACGUAGCCGAACUGAGAGGUUGAUCGGCCACAUUGGGACUGAGACACGGCCCAAACUCCUACGGGAGGCAGCAGUAGGGAAUCUUCCACAAUGGACGCAAGUCUGAUGGAGCAACGCCGCGUGAGUGAAGAAGGCUUUCGGGUCGUAAAACUCUGUUGUUGGAGAAGAAUGGUCGGCAGAGUAACUGUUGUCGGCGUGACGGUAUCCAACCAGAAAGCCACGGCUAACUACGUGCCAGCAGCCGCGGUAAUACGUAGGUGGCAAGCGUUAUCCGGAUUUAUUGGGCGUAAAGCGAGCGCAGGCGGUUUUUUAAGUCUGAUGUGAAAGCCCUCGGCUUAACCGAGGAAGCGCAUCGGAAACUGGGAAACUUGAGUGCAGAAGAGGACAGUGGAACUCCAUGUGUAGCGGUGAAAUGCGUAGAUAUAUGGAAGAACACCAGUGGCGAAGGCGGCUGUCUGGUCUGUAACUGACGCUGAGGCUCGAAAGCAUGGGUAGCGAACA